GCGUAAUGAAAGUAAAUAGCUAUUUAGUUAACUUAAGAGGAAAUUAGAGGGAAAAAAAUUUAUUUUUUUUCUUUUAUUUUUACUUUUUUGUAUAAACUAAAUACUUAAAGGAAGAAAGAUUUAUAUAAAAAAAUUUUUUUUAUAUCUUCAUUAAGAGGGAAAAAAAAAAAAUUUUUUUUUUUUUUCUUAAUGGAAAUCUUGCAUUCCUAGGGCGCUUUAUUCUCGCAUUGCGAGUAUAUGCGCACCUAGAGCGUACACGAUGAUACCCGAAAGAUGGUGAACUAUGCCUGGCCAGGACGAAGCCAGGGGAAACCCUGGUGGAGGUCCGCAGCGAUUCUGACGUGCAAAUCGAUCGUCAGAGCUGGGUAUAGGGGCGAAAGACCAAUCGAACCAUCUAGUAGCUGGUUCCCUCUGAAGUUUCCCUCAGGAUAGCUUGCGCUUAUUAGUUGUGAGUCUCAUCCGGUAGAGCGAAUGAUUAGAGGCAUUGGGGUCGAAACGACCUCAACCUAUUCUCAAACUCCAAAUAGAUGAGAACCUCGGCUU
rnacentral:rRNA from 1 species